GCCCAGACCACUGGAGAGGAAACAUGUAAGCUGCCCACCUGGAAAAGGUUCCAAGGGUCAAACUCAAGUCCUGAGACCGGCAUGGAUCUCCUUCUAGGGGACUUCAAGCUAAGACAGCCAACACCAGAAACAAUCCUUGAAAGUGUUGGGACAGGAUGUUAGUGUUGCUCCCACCCACCCAGCCAGAAGACAAGGUUCUCACGGGAGGAGACCGGUGACUUCAUCUGAGUUGCAGCCCCACCAUCACUGAGGCCUCUCCGGUUACCCAGGGAGGAAUUCAGGUAAAAGCUUAUGCAACUUCAUUAGCAUUUAAAAUCACGGGGCAAGCAUAAUUCUAAGGACCACAGUGUAAGCUGGCCGUUACCAGCUGCUGGCCCUACACUGAUGGAAAUCACAAGCUGGGGCCACUCAGAGAAUGAUGAAGGGGCCAGAAAGCUGCAGCAGCAUCCUUGAAA